UGUCCCGCUGAUCGACUAGGACGGGUCUACGGAUCAGAAGGUUAGGGGUUCGAGUCCCUUCGGGCGCACCA
rnacentral:tRNA from 1 species